rnacentral:rRNA from 1 species
CCUACGGGAGGCUGCAGUGAGGAAUAUUGGUCAAUGGGCGGAAGCCUGAACCAGCCAAGUAGCGUGCGGGAUGACGGCCCUAUGGGUCGUAAACUGCUUUUGCACGGGGAUAAAAUGCUCCACGUGUGGUGGUCUGCAGGUACCGUAUGAAUAAGGGCCGGCUAAUUCCGUGCCAGCAGCCGCGGUAAUACGGAAGGUCCGAGCGUUAUCCGGAUUUAUUGGGUUUAAAGGGAGCGUAGAUGGCUUGUUAAGGGUGACGUGAAAUUCUGUGGCUCAACCAUGGAAUUGCGGUUGAUACUGGCAGGCUUGAGUACGCGGAACGUAGGCGGAAGUCGUGGUGUAGCGGUGAAAUGCUUAGAUAUCACGAAGAACUCCGAUUGCGAAGGCAGCCUACGGAAGCGCCACUGACGCUGAAGCUCGAAGGUGUGGGUAUCAAACAGGAUUAGAUACCCUUGUAGUC